rnacentral:hammerhead_ribozyme from 1 species
AUUCAAAUAACGAGUCCCAAAUAGGAGGAAAUACGCAUCCUGGAU